UCCGAUUUGUCACCGGCAGUCUCCCAUGAGUCCCCGACAUUACUCGCUGGCAACAUGGGACAGUGGUUGCGCUCGUUGCGGGACUUAACCCAACAUCUCACGACACGAGCUGACGACAGCCAUGCACCACCUGUACACCGACCUUGCGGGGCACCCAUCUCUGGAUGUUUCCGGUGUAUGUCAAGCCCAGGUAAGGUUCUUCGCGUUGCAUCGAAUUAAUCCAAAUGCUCCGCCGCUUGUGCGGGCCCCCGUCAAUUCCUUUGAGUUUCAGCCUUGCGGCCGUACUCCCCAGGCGGGGUACUUACUGCGUUAGCGACGGCACCGAAGGGGUCGCUCCCCCCGACGCCUAGUACCCAUCGUUUACGGCGUGGACUAC
rnacentral:misc_RNA from 1 species